rnacentral:lncRNA from 1 species
CAACCAAAGAAUUUUGACAAAUAAUACCAAACUCUAAUUAGAAUCACAUCCUAAAAGAAAAAAGAAUCAGCAGAUGAAAAAGCUAGUCUAAACAAAUUUAAUGAGAGAGAAAAUGAAGCAAACUCAUUUCUAAAAAUUGUAAGGAAUUGAAAGAAAUCAUUUGAAAAGAAUAAUAAAUUCUGAGUAGGUUUUAUAAUGAAAUUUUCAUGAUCAAGUAGAUUGAAGCAAGCACCCUUGGUUUAAAAUAUCACUGUUUCAUAUGUGUAUGUCAAGGAGGUUGUAAUGGUGCUAAAUAGAACACAUAUAGUAGAAGAAGCUUGAUUAAAUUGAUUAUUCAUAGAUAAUAUCCAUGCUAUACUUGACACAAUUAUUAGUUCUUUGAAAGAUUGAGGAAAAUAUCAAAGGCUUGGAAAAAAAUGAUUCGAUCUUGUUAAUAAUGAAUAAAAGAUGACAGACCAAGCAUCAUUAAAUAGCAAUUAUGGAAAUAAUUACCAAAUGCAUGGAGGUCAUUGUAGUAGAUACCACUAUUAGGGAAAUUAUGGUAAUAGGAAAUGCUAAAGCCAUAACACCAGGAAGCCAACUAGGGGAAAGACUGGAUCCUGUGCUCCUCCCCCAACCCUACUUUCUGUUCGGUCCCCUGCAACUAUCUUGAAUGUUCUUCUCAGAAAUAACCAUGAGCACAGGAUUGGAGACGUCAGCCAUUGCUUCACUCUUCAUCUGGUUUUGGAGGUUCUCCACAGUAAAGAUAAGAGAACCUGAAGCCCCCGGAAGAAAGCUGAUUUGCCCAAGGUUACUCAGGCAGAAAAGGAGGAGGGGCAAAAAUAGAAAGAUGAGGAAAAGUAUGGGGAAGAGGAAGAAAGACAGAGAAGAAGUAGAGGAAGAAGAAAGAGGAGAGAAAGAAGAGAAGGAAUUACUUUUUAUUUACUUUACAAAUAUAUCAUAUUUAUUUUGAUAUAUAUUAUUUUCCCUCCACUGAAGUUUAAGUUCCUUCAGGACAUGGAUUGCUGAUUUUUUUUUUCUUUGAAUUCCCAAUGGCUAGAAGAGGUGUCCACCUAUGGUAAACACUUUAAUAAUGCUUAUGAUGAAUUAAAUUAAAUCAAACCCAGUCAACUUAGUUGCCUCCUAAAGCUGUUUGGAGCUCUGUGAAUAUCACUCAGGUACUUUGGUGGGCUUGUGAUCUCACUGAUACAGAUUCUUAGGGCUAGUACAAAGCAAAACAUUUAUACAAAGUGUUAUAAUGUACAAAGCACAACCAUGAUGUCUCAUUCUACAUGAUCCUCUUCUAUAUUCUCCUACAAAUUCUUCUCAAAAGUCCAAUCCAACUCACUGGCCACUUUCCUUGGAGUCUUUGGGAAGCAGUUACCUUUUCUCCGUAGUCCCUAAUUUUCACUAAAUGACUGUCCUACCUCCUUUUUCUAUCAUACUUGUCUUCAGUUCUAGUUUUUACAUGCAAAUCAUCAUUGUGUCAGAUUGUGGGUCUCUUUAUUGUUCUUUCUGUCCCAGCAAUUUUGCUUCUUUGCCAGUCACAGUGAUCUAUGAUUUACAACUUUGUGUCCUCACCAGAAGGCUAUUGCUAUUCAAUAAAUGAAUUUUAGUAGGAUCCUGCCA